rnacentral:lncRNA from 1 species
UUAAUUCUUUCUAUUUUUGUUCUUUUCUUUCACAUCAUAUUUACAAAACGGAUGUUUCUUUUCUAUAUUUUCUAUAUACAUAUAUUUUUUUAUGCUUGCUCGGUUUUUUCUAGAGUUGUGGUAUUUACCGAUUCUCCCCAACUUAUGUCUUACUCACCCUAAGUGAAUGCUCUUAACUUUUUACGGAAAAAGAACAAUACUCAAGAUUUUCCGGGUUGUAAAAAAAAGAUUUUUGAAAUCUCGCUCUAUUUCAAGCAGAGAUUCAACUGUUUAAGCUCAAAGGGGUUAACAAAUACUCUCUCUGCUCACAGGUAAGUUGUUUUUAGAUGUAGUUGUCCUCGAAAGAAAACAAGUGCCUUGAUCAUUUCUAAUUGCUUCCACAAUUUCACAAUAAUAAAAGACAAAGCAUGAAUCAAAUGAAUCAACAAAACUUAUUAGAA